rnacentral:rRNA from 1 species
UAUGUUGGCCGGGCGACGGUUGUCCCGGUUUAAGCGUGUAGGCUGGUUUUCCAGGCAAAUCCGGAAAAUCAAGGCUGAGGCGUGAUGACGAGGCACUACGGUGCUGAAGCAACAAAUGCCCUGCUUCCAGGAAAAGCCUCUAAGCAUCAGGUAACAUCAAAUCGUACCCCAAACCGACACAGGUGGUCAGGUAGAGAAUACCAAGGCGCUUGAGAGAACUCGGGUGAAGGAACUAGGCAAAAUGGUGCCGUAACUUCGGGAGAAGGCACGCUGAUAUGUAGGUGAAGUCCCUCGCGGAUGGAGCUGAAAUCAGUCGAAGAUACCAGCUGGCUGCAACUGUUUAUUAAAAACACAGCACUGUGCAAACACGAAAGUGGACGUAUACGGUGUGACGCCUGCCCGGUGCCGGAAGGUUAAUUGAUGGGGUUAGCGCAAGCGAAGCUCUUGAUCGAAGCCCCGGUAAACGGCGGCCGUAACUAUAACGGUCCUAAGGUAGCGAAAUUCCUUGUCGGGUAAGUUCCGACCUGCACGAAUGGCGUAAUGAUGGCCAGGCUGUCUCCACCCGAGACUCAGUGAAAUUGAACUCGCUGUGAAGAUGCAGUGUACCCGCGGCAAGACGGAAAGACCCCGUGAACCUUUACUAUAGCUUGACACUGAACAUUGAGCCUUGAUGUGUAGGAUAGGUGGGAGGCUUUGAAGUGUGGACGCCAGUCUGCAUGGAGCCGACCUUGAAAUACCACCCUUUAAUGUUUGAUGUUCUAACGUUGACCCGUGAUCCGGGUUGCGGACAGUGUCUGGUGGGUAGUUUGACUGGGGCGGUCUCCUCCUAAAGAGUAACGGAGGAGCACGAAGGUUGGCUAAUCCUGGUCGGACAUCAGGAGGUUAGUGCAAUGGCAUAAGCCAGCUUGACUGCGAGCGUGACGGCGCGAGCAGGUGCGAAAGCAGGUCAUAGUGAUCCGGUGGUUCUGAAUGGAAGGGCCAUCGCUCAACGGAUAAAAGGUACUCCGGGGAUAACAGGCUGAUACCGCCCAAGAGUUCAUAUCGACGGCGGUGUUUGGCACCUCGAUGUCGGCUCAUCACAUCCUGGGGCUGAAGUAGGUCCCAAGGGUAUGGCUGUUCGCCAUUUAAAGUGGUACGCGAGCUGGGUUUAGAACGUCGUGAGACAGUUCGGUCCCUAUCUGCCGUGGGCGCUGGAGAACUGAGGGGGGCUGCUCCUAGUACGAGAGGACCGGAGUGGACGCAUCACUGGUGUUCGGGUUGUCAUGCCAAUGGCACUGCCCGGUAGCUAAAUGCGGAAGAGAUAAGUGCUGAAAGCAUCUAAGCACGAAACUUGCC